CCAGGAAGUAGAAAAUAAGUACAGCGGUGGAUCUCGUGGGCCACUGUUCACGUGACAAAAAAUAAAAUAGAACAAGCAUUUGUCCAAGGAGUCUGAUGUUAGCUUAUAAUUAACAGAACUGGACUGGGGUGAAGCUCAGCUUAGAGGGUGCUGACUCGGCACACACCUGGGAUUAAGCCUCAGCGCUGAAGAAAAGGGCACACAGUGGAGAAAGCGUCCAGAAGGUGGAGGCAGGGCUUAAGGCAGAGAGUUCACAAACAGCGCCGGGAUACAUGAGACCCCAAGAAAGAAAAAAACACAAGUCCCUAGAAUCUAGUAAAGUUAGCCCCAGAAAAGACUCUUUUGGCUCGCAGUUUUGGAGGCAUCAGAAAUUAUCACUGGCCUUUUUUUGGUUUGGGCCUGAAGUGACUCUAUGUGGAGAGCAUGUGGUGAUGCAAGAUGUUUGUUCCACAGCUGAGAAGGAAAAGAGGAAUAAGAUCAGGCCAGGGAACCUUCUGCUAGGCAUAACCUUGUAAAGGCUACCCAUCCUCUGGGUAUAACUGCUCCAGGAUCCUCAGACCAUCACUGGGGGAUUCUAGGCAGGGGCUCUACCACUGAGCCACACCCCAGCCCCUCACUGGGGGAUUCUAGGCAGGGGCUCCACCACUGAGCCACGCCCCCAGCCCCUCACUGGGGGAUUCUAGGCAGGGGCUCCACCACUGAGCCACGCCCCCAGCCCCUCACUGGGGGAUCCUAGGCAGGGGCUCCAUCACUGAGCCACGCCCCCAGCCCCUCACUGGGGGAUUCUAGGCAGGGGCUCUACCACUGAGCCACGCCCCCAGCCCCUAACUGAAGGAUUUAGGUGUUAUAUUUUGCUGCUAUAUUCCAACCCCCUUUUCACCCCCUUUUUUAUUUUGAGACAGAGUCUGACCUUGUAGCUCAGGCUGGACUCCCAGUUCACCAGCAUAUCAGGCUGAACAUCCGAUUACUAGCAAAGUCCCCAGGGUGGCACUUUUGCUAUGGUCUCGGACUCCUCACAUAGGGGACCACUGUGCUUCCAAGAGGCUCUGGGUUCCAUUCCUAUCACCACAAGAACAAAACCCGAGAUCACUGUGUGGAAGCAGUAGGCUGG
rnacentral:lncRNA from 1 species